AUACGGGGGUGGCCGUGCCGCUACGUCAGGCUCCCCCCGGUCUAGGAUGUUGCUGUGGUAGCGUCUGGGCGCCAUGUUAGAAGGCCGGAGGGGAAGAGGAAAGUGAAGCGGCGGCGGUUUGGCCUACCGAACGGCUUUCUCUCUCCGAGGCCUGAUCCCGGCGCGUAUCAUGGUCACGAUUCCCGUUUCCCAGCGGGACGAGUGACUGGCCCGGAGGCGGCAGUGGUGGGGGAGAACGAAGAAGAGGAGGAGGGAGAAGGGGACGACGCGGUGGUGGUGGUGGUGGCGGCGGCGACGGAGGAGGAGGAGGAGGAGGGGCUGGAGAGACGAUGCCGUUUCCCGUUACAACCCAGGGAUCACAAACACAGCAACUACAGAAGCAUUAUGGCAUUACCUCACCUAUCAGUUUAGCUGCCCCCAAGGAGUUUGACUGCAUACUUACCCAGAAAUUAAUUGAAACCUUAAAACCUUAUGGUGUAUUUGAAGAGGAAGAAGAAUUGCAGCGCAGGAUUCUAAUUUUGGGAAAAUUAAAUAACCUGGUAAAGGAAUGGAUACGGGAAAUCAGUGAAAGCAAGAAUCUUCCACAAUCUGUAAUAGAAAAUGUUGGAGGAAAAAUUUUUACAUUUGGAUCCUAUAGAUUAGGGGUUCAUACAAAAGGUGCUGAUAUUGAUGCCCUCUGUGUUGCACCAAGACAUGUUGAAAGAAGUGACUUUUUCACAUCAUUUUAUGAAAAACUGAAACAACAAGAAGAAGUAAAAGAUCUGAGGGCUGUUGAAGAAGCUUUUGUCCCAGUUAUUAAACUUUGUUUUGAUGGAAUAGAGAUUGAUAUUUUGUUCGCGAGGUUAGCACUGCAAACUAUUCCCGAGGACUUAGACCUACGAGACGAUAGCCUACUUAAAAAUUUAGACAUUAGAUGCAUACGAAGUCUUAAUGGUUGCCGGGUAACCGAUGAAAUUCUGCAUCUAGUACCAAACAUUGACAACUUCAGGUUAACACUGAGAGCUAUCAAACUGUGGGCAAAACGCCACAACAUCUAUUCCAAUAUACUAGGUUUCCUUGGCGGUGUUUCCUGGGCUAUGCUAGUAGCAAGAACUUGCCAGCUUUAUCCAAAUGCAAUAGCAUCAACUCUUGUACAUAAAUUUUUCUUGGUAUUUUCUAAAUGGGAAUGGCCAAAUCCAGUGCUAUUGAAACAGCCAGAAGAAUGCAAUCUUAAUUUGCCUGUAUGGGACCCAAGGGUAAACCCCAGUGAUAGGUACCAUCUUAUGCCUAUAAUUACACCAGCAUACCCACAGCAGAACUCUACCUACAAUGUGUCCGUUUCCACACGGAUGGUCAUGGUUGAGGAAUUUAAACAAGGUCUUGCUAUCACAGAUGAAAUUUUGCUGAGUAAGGCAGAGUGGUCCAAACUUUUUGAAGCUCCAAACUUCUUUCAAAAGUACAAGCAUUAUAUUGUACUUCUAGCAAGUGCACCGACAGAAAAACAGCGUCUAGAAUGGGUGGGCUUGGUGGAAUCAAAAAUUCGUAUUCUAGUUGGAAAUCUGGAGAAGAAUGAAUUCAUUACGUUGGCUCAUGUGAAUCCACAGUCAUUCCCAGCACCCAAGGAGAAUCCUGACAAAGAAGAAUACCGUACAAUGUGGGUGAUUGGGUUGGUGUUUAAGAAAACAGAGAAUUCUGAGAAUUUAAGUGUUGACCUUACCUAUGACAUUCAGUCUUUUACAGACACAGUUUAUAGGCAAGCAAUAAACAGCAAGAUGUUUGAGAUGGAUAUGAAGAUUGCUGCAAGGCAUGUGAAACGUAAGCAACUUCACCAACUGCUACCUAAUCACGUGCUUCAGAAAAAGAAAAAGCAUUCAACAGAAGGGAUCAGGUUGACAACUCUGAAUGACAGCAGCCUAGACUUGUCUAUGGACAGUGAUAACAGCACGUCUGUGCCUUCACCUACUAGUGCUAUGAAGACGAGUCCAUUGAACAGUUCUGGAAGCUCUCAGGGCAGAACCAGUCCUGCGCCAGCUGUAACAGCAGCAUCUGUGACCAACAUACAGGCUUCUGAAGUCACUGUGCCACAAAUAAAUUCCAGUGAAAGCUCAGGGGGUACUUCAAAUGAAAGCAUUCCUCAAACUGCCACGCAACCAGCCAUUUCUCCACCACCAAAGCCUACCAUCUCUAGAAUUGCUUCCUCAGCGUGUCUGCUAAAUCCAUCACCAAGAACUUCAGGAAAUGUUGCAACAAAAAUGCCUAGCCCUGUCACAGCAGUGAAAAGGACAUCAUCUCCCCAUAAGGAAGAGUCUCCUAAGAAAAUAAAAAUUGAAGAGCAGGAUGAAAUAAGCGAAGAUACUAGCUGUAUAGAUUUCAAUGAACAUGAAAAAAUGGACAUUAAGGAGCAACUUGAGACAGAAGUGAAUGUUAAUUCUCAAACAGAAACUCUUCAGACACCUUCUCUGCAAGCUCCUCAGAUGGUCAUUGAUCUUAAUGAAUGUGCAUUGUAGCUAAACAUGUAUGGCUUGCCAUACAAACUGACUGAAGCUGGAUUCGCUCUUCUGAAUUGUGCCUUCAAAAAAACACCCAGUACAGACCUUUCAGAUAUCCCUGCUCUCCCUGCAAAUCCUAUUCCUGUUAUCAAGAAUUCAAUAAAAUUGAGAUUGAAUCGGUAAAAACAACCUCAGGGGUCCAUAAACAAUAUCUGCCAACUCAACCUGUUGUCUUCUAAUGCUAUUAAAAAAGGAGAAUGGAGGGUGCAAGACUAGAACAUAAUCGCAAAUGGAUUUAGGUAUAUUUUGUGCACUUCCCUUUCUGGGCUAAAAUCACCACUUGAUUGGAAGUCCAGGUUAGUAUGUGAAGCCAGGAGUACAAUUAAUGUGUUAGCAACAGUUGCAUUAAGUAUUUCGAAGGAUUACUGCCUUUAAAAACAUGAACACUAUUUGUAGCCAUAUUUGACAUUCUGAUUGAAUUUGUUUGAUGCAUUGUUUCAAAAUUGAGAUAAAACUGGCAUAAGAAUCCCUUAAAUGCACUUUUAUGUAGUUUUUUUUAUUGGAGUAUGACUAAUUUUAGAUCUUAGCUCUGAUACACUUUCGUUUUAUUGAAGAAUAUCUUCAGUAGUGCAAAUUGGAUGAUGUUCUACAAUAUACUAUGCAUUGAAAACAAGUGUGUAGUAUAUCUAGUUCAACUGCCAUCAAGCAGCAGUAAGCCUUUAGAAUGAAAUGUCAAAUGUUGAGGUUAUAAGACAUAAGUUGAGGGAGUAAUUGGGAAGUUUUGGUAUUGGUGGGACUGGGACAUGAUUAAGAUGUGGUCUACUUUUUAUUUAUAGGAUUGUUUUAAGGUGCAUACAGAUCAGCAGUGAAACAGCAAAUAAACUUUCCUUUGAGCUAAUCAAACUCUUUAUUACCUUUUUUUUUGAUCCCUUUAUUUCUUGGGAAAAGCUUUUGUGUUUAAUGGUGGGUGGGGUUUUUUUGUUCGUGUCUUUUUUUCUUUCCUCUCCAGCUUGUAUGCACCAUGUAUGACAAUGGUUAUUUACACAAAAAAAAACAAGCCAUGUAUUCAUUUGGAUUCCCUCUUGCUCCUUACCUUGUCGUAAUACCUUUUGGCCUGUAGGCACAAAUUCAGAAUUUUGUCUCAUGACUAAAGUGUUUAAGUAAAUAUUGCGUGCCUGUGAAAUACAACACCCGUCUUGAUGGCCUUUGAAUCACUAAAUAUAAGGUGAUUUUUGUACACUCCAUGAAAGUCCUGUAUGCAUUAAAAAGCUUCAAAUUUUAAAUAAAGGCAAAAAGAUUUUUCCCGAAGAA